AACGUAGGUGGCGAGCGUUAUCCGGAUUUACUGGGCGUAAAGCGUGUGCAGGCGGGGCUCCAAGGGGUGUAUGAAAUUUCCCAGCUUAACUGGGAGAGGUUAUGCCAGACUGGAGUUCUAGAGUGCGAGAGAGGGGCGUGGAAUUCCGGGUGUAGUGGUGGAAUGCGUAGAGAUCCGGAGGAACACCAGCGGCGAAGGCGGCAUCCUGGACUGGUCCUGACACUCAGGAGCGAAAGCGUGGGGAGCGAUCCGG
rnacentral:rRNA from 1 species